rnacentral:rRNA from 1 species
CCGGCGACCGGCGCACGGGUGAGUAACACGUAUGCAACCUGGCCGUGACAGAUGGAUAACCGGGAGAAAUCCCGCCUAAUACAGCAUGACGCCGGGAAGGGACAUCCCUUUCCGGCCAAAGGGGGCGACUCCGGUCACGGAUGGGCAUGCGGCGCAUUAGGUAGUUGGUGGGGCAACGGCCCACCGAGCCGACGAUGCGUAGGGGUUCUGAGAGGAAGGUCCCCCACAUUGGAACUGAGACACGGUCCAAACUCCUACGGGAGGCAGCAG